rnacentral:rRNA from 1 species
GACGAACGCUGGCGGCGUGCCUAAUACAUGCAAGUCGAACGCACUGACGUCGACCGAAGCUGCUUGCAGUGGACGUUGAUUGACGUGAGUGGCGGACGGGUGAGUAACACGUGGGUAACCUACCCUUAAGUGGGGGAUAACACUUGGAAACAGGUGCUAAUACCGUAUAACAACAGAAACCGCAUGGUUUCUGUUUGAAAGAUGGUUUCGGCUAUCACUUCUGGAUGGACCCGCGGCGUAUUAGUUAGUUGGUGAGGUAAAGGCCCACCAAGACAAUGAUACGUAGCCGACCUGAGAGGGUAAUCGGCCACAUUGGGACUGAGACACGGCCCAAACUCCUACGGGAGGCAGCAGUAGGGAAUCUUCCACAAUGGACGAAAGUCUGAUGGAGCAAUGCCGCGUGAGUGAAGAAGGGUUUCGGCUCGUAAAACUCUGUUGUUAAAGAAGAACACUUCUGAGAGUAACUGUUCAGAAGUUGACGGUAUUUAACCAGAAAGCCAC